CACCGCGGUUAGACGAGAGGCCCCAGUUGAUAUUAUAACGGCGUAAAGGGUGGUUAAGGACAGAUAAAAAUAAAGCCAAAUGGCCCCUCGGCCGUCAUACGCUUCUAGGUGUCCGAAGCCCUAACACGAAAGUAGCUUUAAUAAACUAACCUGACCCCACGAAAGCUGAGAAA
rnacentral:rRNA from 1 species